GCAAGUCGAGCGCUACCUUCGGGUGGAGCGGCGGACGGGUUAGUAACGCGUGGGAAUAUGCCCUUCUCUAAGGAAUAGCCUCUGGAAACGGAGAGUAAUACCUUAUACGCCCUUUGGGGGAAAGAUUUAUCGGAGAAGGAUUAGCCCGCGUUAGAUUAGGUAGUUGGUGGGGUAAUGGCCUACCAAGUCGACGAUCUUUAGCUGGUUUGAGAGGAUGAUC
rnacentral:rRNA from 1 species